rnacentral:rRNA from 1 species
CGGGUGAGUAACGCGUGGAUAACCUGCCUCACACAGGGGAUAACAGUUAGAAAUGACUGCUAAUACCGCAUAAGCGCACAGUACCGCAUGGUAUAGUGUGAAAAACUCCGGUGGUGUGAGAUGGAUCCGCGUCUGAUUAGGUAGUUGGUGAGGUAACGGCCCACCAAGCCGACGAUCAGUAGCCGACCUGAGAGGGUGACCGGCCACAUUGGGACUGAGACACGGCCCAA